GCUGGGCGUGGUGGCGCACGCCUGUAGUCCCAGCUACUUGGGAGGCUGAGGCAGAAGAACUGCUUGAACCUGGGAGGCGGAGGUUGCAGUGAGCAGAGAUUGUGCCACCGCACUCCAGCCUGGGCAACAGAGCAAGAUUCUGCCUCAA
rnacentral:SRP_RNA from 1 species